GUCCCGAUGGUGUAGUGGAUACUACCCCUGUCCACUAUGCAGAGGGUUGUGGGUUUGAUUCCCACUGGACA